GAUGAACGCUGACAGAAUGCUUAACACAUGCAAGUCUUUGGCGAAGCUGUGCUUGCACAGCCUAGCCAAGGCGGACGGGUGAGUAACGCGUAAGGAACUUGCCCUGCAGUCAGGGAUAACAGACGGAAACGACUGAUAAGACCUGGUAAAGUCAGGCGGACUCAUGUCCAGCCUGAUGAAAAGAGAUGCUGCAGGAGAGCCUUGCGUCCUAUUAGCUUGUUGGUGGGGUAACGGCCCACCAAGGCGAUGAUAGGUAGCCGGCCUGAGAGGGUGGACGGCCACAAGGGGACUGAGAUACGGCCCUUACUCCUACGGGAGGCAGCAGUGGGGAAUAUUGGACAAUGGGGGCGACCCUGAUCCAGCAAUUCUGUGUGCACGAUGAAGGUUUCCGGAUUGUAAAGUGCUUUCAGCAGGGAAGAAAAAAAUGACGGUACCUGCAGAAGAAGCGACGGCUAAAUACGUG
rnacentral:rRNA from 1 species